GUGAGAAACACCAUUUCUGUACCAGUCAAGUGGAAAUGAAUGGAUCCUCUCCUACCUUCAGAUGGGAGAGGCGCAUCUGAACACUGAGGAUAUAAAAAACAUGAAAGAAAUGAAAUUCAUCCUGCAUGCCAGGAGAGAAAUACUGCACGAGCAACCUGACUGGCCAGCUGAUGACACAUCCCAAGAUACAUGAAGAGUUGAGGACCAUAGCAAACAGGGAUUCCUCUUUAUCAGGAGGUAAGGAAUAUACAGUACCUGCGUAUAGCAUCCCAGUGCAAAUCAAAGACUUUGGUUUUUCUUUCGGAGCCUAUGUUAUAUGUCAAGAGGGGAAUGCUGCCAACUAAUUGAGAACAAAGCAAUGUAUGCAGCCAGAGCUGCUGAGAUGUAAGAGAAGCAUCCUGUGAGUCUAUUCAUGGAAAAGGAGAGUAGCCACUUAUCCCCAGGAAGUGUUAAAUAACACAGCUGGUUGCAUCUCUCCAAACAGCCACACUCAGACCGUUCCCGGCACAGAGGUGAGCAUCUAAGGUUCCAUUUUGCCACCUAAAUUAAAUGAAAAAUGAUCAUUUCAGUGAAGAGCCCUCCAGACACCAAACAAAUCUGUCAGAUAUUGAUCGUUACAGCACAUCGCACUUCUCCAGAUGUCAGGAGAGCAGGGGGCUGUGCUUUUCAAGAAGCAGUUAUGGAAACUGAUCAUCCCCUUUCGUGAGGUGAGAAAUACACAUUCUCAGAGAGUUCAAGUGACAAUAAUGGGUCUGGUCAGCCUUUCAGGUGGAAGAAAUGCAGCUGAGCUGAUCUUCCCAGACAGGAAGGCUUGGAAGUUGCAAUCAUGAUAGCGAUCCAUUUUUGUUGACCA